CACGAGACACAAUUUUUCAGUGAUUUGCUUACUACUCAAAACUCCACCUGUGGUGAUAGUUACAUAACUGUGCACAUAUUUAAAAUCAUGGCAUUGUCUACUUAGAGCAGAUGAAUUGUAUGGUAUGUAAAUUAUAACUCAGUAACUUUUUUUUUCCAAAUGACUGGGGGAAGAAAUACCUCUGUAUCUCCACAGUUAGAAAAAUCUCUCUCCAGUACCAAUCCUCCAAAGGUAUUAUUGGGAGUGGGGGAAGUCCAAGAGUAAUUUGCACUGAAAUACGGCUUUCCUAAUCUGGAAACUCUGUUUCCAACAUUUUUUGUGCCAACCCUACUGUCUUUUGAGCGCAUAAUUCUUAUUUUUACUACUAGGUAAAGAGACACUUAGAAAGGUUGGGAUUACCACUCGAUUCCACUGUGUACAGGAGUUUACUUCCAGAAACAAUUCACUUGCAAGAUUCUCUGUUCCCUUGCUCCACUUGAUUCAGGGAUAAAUAUUCUCUGAAAAGGAAAGAAACCGUGUAUUUUAAAUUUUCAUUUAUAUUCGUCUCAUCUUCCUUAGUAAGUUAUAUUGAGGACAGAUUUCUGCUGUAACUCCCUUUAUUACCAGUAUAUUAUCUGUUAAAAUGAAUAUUAUUGACUAUUUACUGACUGCUCUUUGAAAAAGUUGGGAAGUUAGGUGAGCAGAAUGCUGUUUAUAUGGAAACUUCAUCAUGUUGCUGUCAGUGAAUAGACACAAUGGGUAUAAAGAUUUUUUUAUUUCUUUUCAUUUUUUAAUUUUUAUUAUUAUUUUUUUAAGACGGAGUCUCUCUCUGUUGCCCAGGCUGGAGUGCAAUGGCACAAUCUCAGCUCAC
rnacentral:lncRNA from 1 species